GUCUAUGGCGGGCGGCGCAUGGGCAGGUUUCGGCCUGGCCGGUGUCCUUGAGAGCCGGUUUUCCACCCCGUGUGUCGUUCGCCGCCUCA
rnacentral:antisense_RNA from 1 species